rnacentral:rRNA from 1 species
UACGAAGGGGGCGAGCGUUGUUCGGAUUUACUGGGCGUAAAGGGCGCGCAGGCGGUCAUUUUUUGUCGAGUGUGAAAGCCCCGGGCUUAACCUGGGAACUGCGCUCGAAACGGGAUGACUAGAGAUCGGGAGAGGAGAGUGGAAUUCCCAGUGUAGAGGUGAAAUUCGUAGAUAUUCGCAAGAACACCAGUGGCGAAGGCGGCUCACUGGCCCGGUACUGACGCUGAGGAGCGAAAGCGUGGGGAGCGAACGA